GCCUACUUGGUGAAAUUGGUAAACACGAUAGAUUUAAAAUCUAUUCCCAAUUUAAGGGUUAUUGGUUCAAGUCCAAUAGUAGGUA
rfam:Hyaloperonospora arabidopsidis Emoy2 Contig898.0, whole genome shotgun sequence.